rnacentral:tRNA from 1 species
GGCACGGUGGUGCAGUGGGUAGCACUGUCGCCCUCACAGCAAGAAGGUUGUGGGUUCGAAUCUCGUCUUGGGGCCU